rnacentral:rRNA from 1 species
CCUACGGGAGGCAGCAGUGAGGAAUAUUGGUCAAUGGGCGAGAGCCUGAACCAGCCAAGUCGCGUGAGGGAGUACUGCCCUAUGGGUUGUAAACCUCUUUUGUCGGGGAGCAAAAGCCGGACGUGUCCGGCUGUGAGAGUACCCGAAGAAAAAGCAUCGGCUAACUCCGUGCCAGCAGCCGCGGUAAUACGGAGGAUGCGAGCGUUAUCCGGAUUUAUGGGGUUAAAAGGGUGCGCAGGCGGAUUUUUAAGUCAGCGGUCAAAUCGUGGGGCUCAACCCCAUCCAGCCGUUGAAACUGGGGAUCUAGAGUGUGCUAGAGGUAUGCGGAAUGCGUGGUGUAGCGGUGAAAUGCAUAGAUAUCACGCAGAACCCCGAUUGCGAAGGCAGCAUACCGGUGCACAACUGACGCUCAGGCACGAAAGCGUGGGUAUCGAACAGGAUUAGAUACCCCUGUAGUC